GGGGUUGGGGAUUUAGCUCAGUGGUAGAGCGCUUGCCUAGGAAGCGCAAGGCCCUGGGUUCGGUCCCCAGCUCCGAAAAAUAGAACCAAAAAAAAAAAAACCUUCUUU
rnacentral:scRNA from 1 species